rnacentral:lncRNA from 1 species
CAAUUUUAUUUCCGUAAAGAUAGAUACCUUCCUAUACAAAUUUUCCCAAAUCGAAUUUCGCUUUCGAUUUCCAAAUUAGCCAAAAUUUCUGAGGCAUGUACACGAACAAUCUUUAAAAAGAAUUUUGGUCGCUAUCUUUUUCUUGUUACGAAGGAGAUCGCACACACUCGCAUACCACACGUGAAUCAGGGCAGCAUCAACCUCUUACAGAGACAUUGCUUCCGUCCUUACGCAAGGCGUCGACAAUUUAAAACGCAUUAAAACUAUACGAUACAAUAUGAGAAAUAUCUAAGCGACAUAUUGCGAAACAAACAUUUAUCGCAAGAACAAAAGUUGGCGGAAAAAAAAAAAAAUAAUAAUAAUAAUAAUAAUAAUAAUAAUAAUAAAUAAUAAGCAAUUUUUUUGAAAACAAUUUGUUAGCAGUCUUUUCCCCUCUGUGAAAUGGAUAAUUGGGUUUUUUUAUGAUUGAUUUGGAAAAAAAGGGGGGGGGGGUAUUUGUUUGUUUGUUUGUUUUUGUAAAGGGUCUAUAUUAUUAUGUUACCGGAGAAGUUUCAUGUUUAGUUUGGAAAGUUUUUCUUUUAUUUUAGAUACAGCGCGCGCGCAAUAUUGAGGAGACAUCACGUGACGCGGGUUUAUAUUAAGAAAAACUUAGUCUUUUAAUUUCUUUUUAGGUCGGGACCUUGAACAGACAACAUGUCGAGAGAUGGAAUGUACACAAUGUAAUUUCUUUUGUCAUUGUAGGAAAUUGACAUUUUGAUCACAGUUCACCAGCAGUGCAUGUUUUGGAUUAAUUGUUCGGUGUAACUUUCAAUACACAUUUAAUGAUUAAUUUUUUGAUAUGUCCAUUUUUCAGACCUGUUUGUAACACAGAUUAGUAUUUCAAUCUCGGAGCGGACAUUUUAUUGUAGGUUUUUACUGAGAUUGACGGACCUAGCAAGCGAUUUUUACGGCAUUGCGAUUUCUUUUUUCUAGGAAAAGUCUUGAGAGAUAUCUGCAAAAGGUUUUUUUAUGAACCUUCAGUACAUGUAUGCCCUGCUGACUGCAAAUUUUCAGGUCGAUUGGACUUGUAGUUUCAGAGAAUAUGUGGAUUUUUUUUCAGAAGAGACGUAAGAACAAUAAUAAAAUAAAAAUUUUCUUGAAUAAUUGAGAGUUUGUUCCUUCAAUAAACUGUCAUAAAUAAACAGUCAUACAUAUUGAUUGAUUAGUUGGUUGAUUGAUUGGUUGGUUGGUUGGUUUGUUGGUUGGUUGAUUAAACACGUUUGAUAGGGUCACUUAGAACAAGGGGAAAAAGACCUCAAGAGACCUUGCAUCCCGUAUUAAACGCAUGACACGGAAACAUACAUUAAGUGAUUGAUUGGUUGGUUGGUUGGUUGGUUGGUUGGUUAAACACAUUGGUUAAACAUGUUGGUUUAACACGUUGGUUAAACACGUUGGCUGGUUAAACACGUUUGAUGGGCUCAAUUUAAACAAGCGAAAAAAAAACAUCUUGGAUCCCGUAUUUAACACAUGAAACGGAAACAUGCAUUGAUUUAUUUAUUGGUUGGUUGGUUGGUUGGUUGGUUAAACACGUUGGUUAAACAUGUCGGUUAAACACGUAGUUUAAACACGUUGGCUGGUUAAACACGUUUGAUAGGCUCAAUUUUAACAAACGAAAAAAAACCAUCUCGGAUCCCGUAUUUAACACAUGAAACGGAAACAUGCAUUGAUUGAUUGAUUGGUUGGUUGGUUGGUUAAACACGUUGGUUAAACAUAUUGGUUUAACACCUUGGUUAAACAUAUUGGUUAAACACGUUGGCUGGUUAAACACGUUGGAUAGGCUCAAUUUAAACAAGCGAAAAAAACCAUCUUGGAUCCCGUAUUUAACACAUGAAACGGAAACAUGCAUUGAUUGAUUGAUUGAUUG